CUGGCCCUGAAUCAAGGCCAGCACUCUGCUGAAGCUGCUGAUUUCAAUCAGGAGCCUAAAGAAAUGUCUGUUGACCAUUUCAAAAUUUUGGAAACGUAAUGGUCAGUUCAUCAGAAAGAAACAUCU
ensembl:snoRNA